GGUAGCCUGUACUAUUCUCCCUUCAGCAAGGGUAUCCUCAGUUUCACCUGAUAUCAUAUAAAAUUCCUCAUCCUGACUUGGUUCUUUAUACUGUUUACGCCAAUCCUGAAAACCCUGUAUCAAUUCUAAUUGUAUAUACUUGAAAGUCUCCUUCUUAUUUUCACGCUUCUUAUCAUGGAGAUACACAUCAAGAUCAAGGUUUUUCAAUAAAUUAGGCCGGUCUCUAACAUGCUCUAUUGCCAUUUCCAGUGCCUCAUCAUCAU
rnacentral:misc_RNA from 1 species